rnacentral:rRNA from 1 species
UACGACUCUCGGCAACGGAUAUCUCGGCCCUCGCCACGAUGAAGAACGUAGCGAAAUGCGAUACCUUGUGUGAAUUGCAGAAUCCCGUGAAUCAUCGAGUCUUUGAACGCAAGUUGCGCCCCAGGCCUAGGCCGAGGGCACAUCUGCCUGGGCGUCGCAUUCGAACGAAACGCCCCCUCUCCCGGUCCAUCUGGGGAGGGGAGCGGAGUUGGUCGUCCGUGCCCCUGGUGGUCCGGUUGGCUAAAACGGAUCGUGGGGGCCCCUGUCGGACGUCGCGUGGCACCGGCGAGUGGUGGUCCGGCCACUCCCCGGCGGAAGUGGCGGUUUGCUUCAUGCGCCGGUGCAAGACACGAGCGGGGAGUCGCCUCCGUAGCCUCUUGGACGGUCGCGUUGCGGCUUUCGAGCCUUCGCGUCGCGGCCCGUUUUUUGCUCGUGCGACCCC